GACGAACCGAGCGAACGUUGUUCGGAAUCACUGGGCUUAAAGGGCGCGUGAGGCGGGCGGUUAAGUCUGCGGUGAAAUCCUCCAGCUCAACUGGAGAACUGCCGUGGAUACUGGCUGUCUCGAGGAAGGUAGGGGCGUGUGGAACUAUCGGUGGAGCGGUGAAAUGCGUUGAUAUCGAUAGGAACUCCGGUGGCGAAGGCGACACGCUGGACCUUUUCUGACGCUGAGGCGCGAAAGCUAGGGGAGCAAACGGG
rnacentral:rRNA from 1 species